GCCCCGGUAGCUCAGUCCGGUUAGAGCGGUCGGCUGUUAACCGACAGGUCAGCGGUUCGAAUCCGCUCUGGGGCG
rnacentral:tRNA from 1 species